AAAGAAUGAAUCUCCGAGAGCUUGCCCAUCUUUCAACCCUGGAUGCGGGCAGAAAGAGGACUUCACUGAUGAGUUCUGGUGCCACCCUGCGGCCCACCCACCAGAUUUGACCUCAUGCUGAUUAGGCCGUACUGUGACUACCAGCAUCUCCGUCCAUCUGUCCCACAUCCACAGAUCCACCUAGUGCCUCCCCUCCUGCUCCCCAAAAGUUCAGAGUCUGGCUUGCAGACUUGCAAAUGCAAAUCAUUCUGGACUCAGGCCAAGAAGAGGAGAAAGGGUCGAACUGCUGGGCCCACAGCCUGCAGUAGCAGUGAGGGUACCAGCUCAGCCUGCUUCUUGGAGACCAGUGGAAGAAUCAGACACCAGUGCCUCUGGCCUACUCAGAACUUCACAGCGUUCCUCUGCACCUACAAACUCUUCGAUUCUUUUCACUGCAAUGCUAUAGCUGAGGAAAUGUGGCUCACAGAGGUUGUGUCUCAUCCAAGGUCACAUAGCCAGACAACAGUCCCAGAGCCGACCAUUUGUUCAGUACUUUUCCCUUCAAGGAUGGUAUUUACCCUUUCGUGUUUCUGCUGGGUGUCAGCAGCAGCAGUGACUACUCUGGGGCAGCAGGAGCUGUGUGUGCGAGAGUGCAGAGGCAAGAGAAGCUUGGAGUUCUUAAGAAACUGUGCAGAAUUCCCUGGCUGGAAAUGGAGCUGUGAAUACAGGAGAUGUGGAUAAAAGAUGAAUUGGGAAUAGACUGUGAAGGGCUUUGAAUGCCACUCCAAGGACCGUGGGCUUAACCUCUUUGGAAAAGUGAGCUUCUGGAGCAAGUCACCAGGAGAUAGUUAUAUAUUUGUGCAAGGAAGCUGGGGAUUGAACCCAAGCCCUUGACACUGAGCUACACCCCCAGUCCUUUUUGGUUUUUUAUUUUAAGACAGGGUCCCAUUAAGUUACCAAGUUGCCCAGACAGAGUUUAAACUCAUGAUCUUCUUGCCUCAGCCUCCCACAGUGUUGGGAUUGCAGGCACGUACUACCAUACCUGCCUUUUCUUUUCUUUUCUUUUUUCUUUUUAUAACAAACUGAACAAAUUCGGGCAAGCAGGAAUCAUGAAACUAAUUUCUCCCCUCAGGUUUGUAGUCUGGAUUUGCCCUAACUUUCUGCUACAAUGUUCCCCACCCACCCCGUGCUAAACACCACUCCCAAGAAAAUGCACCUCAAGGGGCAGGUGACUACAGACACAGGUUUCUGGUGCUUUGCAUCUGGCCCCAUCUCAGCCAAGGCUGUUCUGGCAGCCCUCAGUUUCCCCCAGCUCUGCUCCAGGCAGAAUCCUGGAGGCAAAGCCAGAGCCAGGCCCGUGGAAAUAAGAACAGAGACUGCUGUCCUCCAACUGUCCCACUUCAAAUAACCUGGAAAGACUGCACUUGGGAGAAACACAUCUCUCCCUUCCCUUAUGCAAACCCCAUGUAGCUGGAGCCCAAGUCCAAAGUCCUGACGCUUUCCUCUUCCCAAAGAUUCAGAGUGCUAAUAAGGACCAGAUGUGAAACAAGAGGCUCCUGGCCUAUCUCUCAGUGAUAUUUGAAUAAGCC
rnacentral:lncRNA from 1 species